rnacentral:rRNA from 1 species
UACAGAGGUCUCAAGCGUUGUUCGGAUUCAUUGGGCGUAAAGGGUGCGUAGGCGGCGCGGUAAGUCGGGUGUGAAAUCUCGGAGCUUAACUCCGAAACUGCAUUCGAUACUGCCGUGCUUGAGGACUGGAGAGGAGACUGGAAUUUACGGUGUAGCGGUGAAAUGCGUAGAUAUCGUAAAGAAGACCAGUGGCGAAGGCGGGUCUCUGGACAGUUCCUGACGCUGAGGCACGAAGGUCAGGGGAGCAAACGGG